UUUAUGGAGAGUUUGAUCCUGGCUCAGGACGAACGCUGGCGGCGUGCUUAACACAUGCAAGUCGAACGGAAAGGCCCUGCUUGCAGGGUACUCGAGUGGCGAACGGGUGAGUAACACGUGGGUGAUCUGCCCUGCACUUCGGGAUAAGCCUGGGAAACUGGGUCUAAUACCGGAUAGGACCAUCGUUUAGUGUCGGUGGUGGAAAGUUUUUCGGUGCAGGAUGAGCUCGCGGCCUAUCAGCUUGUUGGUG
rnacentral:rRNA from 1 species